rnacentral:rRNA from 1 species
UACGGGGGAGCAAGCGUUGUUCGGAUUUACUGGGCGUAAAGGGCGCGUAGGCGGUCAGCACAAGUCAGUUGUGAAAUCUCCGGGCUUAACUCGGAAAGGUCAACUGAUACUGUGCGACUAGAGUGCAGAAGGGGCAACUGGAAUUCUCGGUGUAGCGGUGAAAUGCGUAGAUAUCGAGAGGAACACCUGCGGCGAAGGCGGGUUGCUGGGCUGACACUGACGCUGAUGCGCGAAAGCCAGGGAGCGAACGGG